rnacentral:rRNA from 1 species
GACUAGUAUGAACGGCACCACGAAGACUAUACUGUCUCCUCUCUGCAAUCAGUGAAACUGAUCUCCCCGUGAAAAAGCGGGAAUUAUAUUAUAAGACGAGAAGACCCCAUGGAGCUUUAAGAAAAUAACAACUGUCAUAACUAUAUCAUAAAAACUUGACAAACCUGACUAUUAACUUUCGGUUGGGGUGACCACGGAGUAAAACAAAACCUCCGCAAUGAACGAGCCCGGCUCUAACUCAAGAACCACACUUCCAAAAAUCAUUAUAUUGACAUUUAUUGACCCAAACCCUUGAUCAAUGAACCAAGUUACCCUGGGGAUAACAGCGCAAUCCAUUUUAAGAGCCCCUAUCGACAAAUGGGUUUACGACCUCGAUGUUGGAUCAGGGUAUCCUAGUAGUGCAGUCGCUACUGAAGGUUUGUUUGUUCAACAAUUAAAACCCU